rnacentral:lncRNA from 1 species
ACUAAGUACUUUCAUGACCAUAGAAUAUCUGAUAGGACCAUUAUGGUUGGUGCAACCGUGGUCAUAGAUUGUACCGUGAUUUGGCAAGUUAAAAAUAUGCUUGAGCAAAUUUUCGUAUCUAUAUCUGAUCUGGUCAUUCUACAUGGUUAGUGCAAAAUCUGUAUCUAUCUUCAGAUAUAGAAAUCGUAACGACUUCGCGAAAUAUGACAAAAAAAUAUGAGCAUUUCAUGAUUUAUGUGAUUUUCUCUAUUUCUAGUAUGACGUGUG